rnacentral:rRNA from 1 species
ACUCCUACGGGAGGCAGCAGUGGGGAAUAUUGCACAAUGGGCGCAAGCCUGAUGCAGCCAUGCCGCGUGUGUGAAGAAGGCCUUCGGGUUGUAAAGCACUUUCAGUCGUGAGGAAGGUAGUGUAGUUAAUAGCUGCAUUAUUUGACGUUAGCGACAGAAGAAGCACCGGCUAACUCCGUGCCAGCAGCCGCGGUAAUACGGAGGGUGCGAGCGUUAAUCGGAAUUACUGGGCGUAAAGCGCAUGCAGGUGGUUUGUUAAGUCAGAUGUGAAAGCCCGGGGCUCAACCUCGGAAUAGCAUUUGAAACUGGCAGACUAGAGUACUGUAGAGGGGGUAGAAUUUCAGGUGUAGCGUGAAAUGCGUAGAGAUCGUGAAGGAUACCGGUGGCGAAGGCGGCCCCUGGACAGAUACUGACACUCGAGAUGCGAAAGCGUGGGAGCGAAACAGGAUUAGAUACCCCUGGUAGACUGUCA